UACGGGGGGGGGUAAGCGUUGUUCGGAAUUACUGGGCGUAAAGCGCACGUAGGCGGAUUCGCAAGUAGGAUGUGAAAGCCCCAGGCUCAACCUGGGAAUGGCACCCUAAACUACGGAUCUUGAAUGCUUGAGAGGUUGGUGGAAUUCCUGGUGUAGGAGUGAAAUCCGUAGACUAUCAGGAGGAAUAUCGGUGGCGAAGGCGACCAACUGGUGGUGCAUUGGACGCUGAGGUGCGAAAGCGUGGGGAGCAAACAGG
rnacentral:rRNA from 1 species